rnacentral:misc_RNA from 1 species
CUGUGUUAAAAAUGCAGUUUCUAAUUCAUCAUAGUUUAGCGAAGCUAUUCUAAAAGCACCAUGAUAACGUUUUCAAUUUUGAACUUCCGCAAGGCAUACAAAAAGAUUGUUCGGACAAUGGAUCACGGUAAUUCUCGUGUGAAACACUAAACAAUGCUAUCAUGUUGAUAACAGCGGCGAGUUGAUUGAGAACAAAAGGCAACGUCGACGCGAUUGUAAGUGCAGUAACCUCGGCAAUCGGAGAAAACCCUCACUCAUCUUAAGAAGAAAUCGUCGGCCGAUUCAUUUAACACACGCGACGAUGAUUUAUCUUUCUCGAGGGAUGCCUGGCAAUCACGUUAGACAGAAAAAUCGAACCGAACUGAAAUCCAUUCAGGACCCGGACUAUUGUCGACACGGCGAAUCAAAUAACUGGGGAAUGAAAUAAAAG